GAUGAAGAACGUAGCGAAAUGCGAUAAGUAAUGUGAAAUGCAGAAUUCAGUGAAUCAUCGAAUCUUUGAACGCACAUUGCGCCCCCUGGUAUUCCGGGGGGCAUGCCUGUCCGAGCGUCAUUACAACCCUCAAGCUCAGCUUGGUGUUGGGCCCCGCCGCCCCGGCGGGCCCUAAAGUCAGUGGCGGUGCCGUCCGGCUCCGAGCGUAGUAAUUCUUCUCGCUCUGGAGGUCCGGUCGUGUGCUCGCCAGCAACCCCCAAUUUUUUUCAGGUUGACCUCGGAUCAGGUAGGGAUACCCGCUGAACUUAAGCAUAUCAAUAAGCGGAGGA
rnacentral:misc_RNA from 1 species